GUAGUCCUAGCCGUAAACGGUGCACGUUUGCUGUAAAAGGAAUCGACCCCUUUUGUGGCGAAGCUAACGCGUUAAACGUGCCGCCUGGGAAGUACGGUCGCAAGAUUAAAACUCAAAGAAAUUGACGGGGGCCUGCACAAGCGGUGGAGUAUGUGGCUUAAUUCGAUGCAACGCGAAGAACCUUACCUGGCCUUGACAUGCAUAUAGUAGAAGCCUGAAAGGGUGACGAGGUAGCAAUACCAGUAUGCACAGGUGCUGCAUGGCUGUCGUCAGCUCGUGUCGUGAGAUGUUGGGUUAAGUCCCGCAACGAGCGCAACCCUUGCGUCCAGUUGCCACCUGACCGAAAGGUUGGAGCACUCUGGAUGGACUGCCUCGUUUAAACGAGGA
rnacentral:rRNA from 1 species